UGGAGCCCUGUGGAAGCUAAGAAUGCGAGGAGUCUCUGCUCCUUUCCCCUUCCGGAUUUUUGCUUCAGCUGCGGCGCAGUCUGACCGAGCAGCUUCGAGGGUCUUCCGCCAGCGGCUUGUUGGUGCAGUGGAAUCCCCCAGGGAGCUGAGCAGUUCGUGGAAUCUUCUUACCGGUACAGCUUUCACUGUUGCUUGUGUUACAGUGUGAGGCUGGCCUGGGAACUGGUGUGAAGACCGUAGCCCUCGCUGCAGGGGGGCCCAGGGAGCCGGAAAAUCGGUUGCAGCACGCGUGUCUGUGAUGCUCCCCUUUCCUGAGGUCCGCAGCUGCCGCCCGGAGGAGAUCUAGCAGAGCCAUUUAUCAAACACACACAAUUAAGGCCAGCGUUGGCCGAGAUCUAUUCCAGGAGCGGAGGAGCGGAGCAGAGCCUGGGGGUGACGCAAGUGACGCAAGUGACGCAAGACGGAUCGUCCAAUCGGACCAAGGUCCUCCAGUGAGGGCGGAGGGAGCGUUGGAUCCUGGGUGGUCAAAUUUAGGUCCUGUGCUUCAGACCGCGCCUGGACAACCAGAUACGAAAAUAGAGAUUUUUGGCUGAGCGUUGGCCUGGGAGACACCGAGAGUAGAUAUUAGCAGAGAGAAGGAGGCCAGUUAUCAUGGGAAGAGUUUACCAAAGACAAUUUCGAGAGCUGGUUCCGCGAUUCCCCGGCUCCACGGCCAGAUCAAAGGAGCCUCCACAAGGAAGUGAAGUCCCAGAGGAACGGACCCGUGUAUGUUUGCAUGACGUUUGAUGAGGAGCGGACAGCUGUGGAGGAACGUGAUACCGUGAGGUACGUGUUGUAAACUGCGGGCAUCCAGAGAAGGCUGUUUGUUAGCGUUCUUCUGGGUGAUUCCCUGGUCUUCAGAGAGAAGGACGUUCCUGUCCUCCAGGUGUAAAGAGGGCGCCACUCACAUGAUCUGCUUCACGAAAGAAGGGUGGAGGGGCCGGUCUCCGACUUAGCCUUCUGACCUGCCGUCCUCUCAGACUCCUUCAGUGUAAAAUACUCAGUAUGCCAAGGUGCCAUACUUUGGGGGGAGUGGGUCUUAGACCCCGUCUGAGGAAACAAACCAGUAUCCUGGGGUGUGCUUUCUGUGGGCACUGAAGCUGCUAAGCCUCUCCAUUUAUUUUGGAGCUCUCCAUGGGUCUGACCCAAGCUUCGGAACCUACUUUUCUUAUCUUUCCUACCCCCUCCUUCCUCGACACACACACACUCUCAACCUUUAGCUCUUUGGAGUCAUAGAAUUAUGAAAUGUCAGACUAUGAAAGAGGCUCUGGGCCCGAAACGACACACACCUUCCUGACGAUGCUCAAGACAGACGUUACCAAUGCAUCAUGGUAAUGUCCCAUGAAGCUCAGUGUCUACCUCAGAAUCCUUCCCAGCCCAGCAUUCCAGGUAUCCAGUUUUUUUGUGAGACAAAGUCUAGUUUACAGAUGCUUUCUUUGAAGCUUUAAAAGUCAACUCUGAACCCCAGAGAAAGGAAGUCGCUCUUCCAAGGUCACACGGCCGGUUGGUGACUAGGGGAAGAUGGGCAACAGGCUCUCCUGCCCGGGCCUUUGCUCUCUCUCUCUCUCCUGAGCCAGGGUUUCCGAGACUUUGCCCAUUUAUUCACUGUCUUCUCGGACCUCGUUCUCUUGACCGGCGAUCUCUCGCCAUCUCGUUCUUCAUCCACCGCCCACGGACUACCAGGUGAUUUACAAGACCCCAGACCCUUCUCAGACAGAAUCUUAGCGAGUGGCUGAUCCACACGGAGCCACGGCCAAGAGAAGCAGCUUUGUUUGGGAUGCGAUCCACAUCGGGAAAGAAUGCACUCAUCCUGUGGUCCAGAUCUCUCCCCAACGGCUGGAAUCGAGGGCCCGGAGUCCCCGCGGCCAUCCAUUACCACUGAGACGGCCCAGGCUGGGGGCCCGUGUUGUUUUAUAUGACGGCUUAUCCUGCCGUGAGCCGUUCUGUGCCCCUCGCUGGCUGCUCACCUUCUGGUGCAGGCAUCGGCUCAGCGAUGAAGAAAUGCACAAGCCCGUGGGCCAUCACCGGCAAAUGUCCGGUUUUGAUGCUGCCUGGAGGGUGCGGUUUCUGGGGCAGUCCAGGGUACCCCAGGUGCACCAAGGGAUGACGGGGAACCCACAGGAAGGGACACCUGAUAAGCCAGGAGAAGGUUCAGAAGGAUGGAAAGGUUGCUCUGUAGCGAGGGAACGGCAGCAACGAACGCACAGAGGCGUAAGGGAGCGGUGAGUUUAGGAGCAAUACAGACAUUUCCGAUUGUUGGAGGUAUGCUGUGAGGCUGGGGCAAGUGGCAGGUGACGGAGUGGAGAGAGAGAAAAAGGAAACAAGCAAGCGAGCAAAAAGUAUCCGUAACAUGCCACACGGUAAUAGGAGCAAAGGCAAAAGUCAAGCAGAGGUGGGGACAGAGCUGGGGAUGCUGUAGGUAGGUGGGUGGUCAGGGAGGGCUUCUCUGAGGAAGGGACAUUUGAGCCGCCGCGUGAGCUGUGCAAGGGUCCUCUCCCACCUGAUCUUAUCUGGUCCUCAUGACCGCGUGAAAGGAAGGCCACAGACAAGGACCCUACCGCCCCAGGGCUGGGCCUGGGCUGGGGAGUGAGUUUGAGGCAGAGCGGGGCCCAGGAUCCGGCGCUCCAGACACCCAAGGCAGGGGUCCUUUGAGCUCAGAGUGGCCUCCUCCGCCAAAUGUGGGCUUUGGCCCAGCCCAGGACCUCUCCUCGGUCUCUGCAACCUUGUCACCCACGACCCUACCCGGCAGCAAGAUGAGGUUAAGACGGGCUCUGACAUCAGACAGGUGCAGCUCUAAUUCCAGUCUCUCCUAUUAGCUGCUUCAUCUGGAGCAAGGAAGCCUCAGUGUCUUCCCCCAUGAAAGGGGGUAAUCGAGCAUCUUUCUCGUGGAACACCGGACGGUGCAAGCAAAGCCCUUAGCACCGCGCCCGGCACACGUAGACGGGGCUUAUGGAACGCGAGUUACCGGCCAUCUUGGCGCACAGGGCCCCCCGCCUCCUCGAGCCAUCUGAGUGAUGACCACACGGCCGCUGCCCUCGGCUGGGCCGUGGCGGGCUUGGCUCGGUGUGACAGGGCGGGCUGUUGUAGAGUGACCCGGCCCCCUUGUCUCGAAGUGGGACCCGCUGUGUCCCUUCUAUGCCCUGUCACAUCUGAUGCACCCUCCUCGCCUUCCCUUCUGUUUGCCCGGUGCUUCCUGCUUUCAGACCUGCUCACUUUGCUCCCUAAUAUGCAUCGCUGACAGACAUUAUGUUUAUUUCCUUGUUCCCUUACGGCCGUCUCCCCUGACAGAAGUUGGACACCCCGAUGACGGAGAUUCGGGGCGCUCUGUGUGCAGCUGCCGGUCUGGCGCCCAGAACGUGACCGACUCCCAGUAGGUCCUGGAAACAUGUUGGUUGAACGGGUGGAUGAAGAAAUGGAACAAAUGUGCCGUGGAUGUCCGUGGCCACGGGCCAUCUCCCCAGACAGCCUGUGUUAUUUUCUUUCAGGCCACGGCUGCAGAAGGUCAAGGGUCUGGUCCAUUUCCUUAGCCAUCCUGACCUUGGCCCGAAGGCACUUGGCCCUGGGCAUGGGAGGGCCUCCUUCCAUGCACCCGUGUUCCCUCCAGGCCGGCGCAAGGGGGACCCUGUCUUUCUUCCUAGCUCUCAGGUCAGGUCCAUGAGGAGACAACAGGAGGGGAAGACAGAUAAGCCUAUGAGGCCUCUGGGGACCCAGAAGGGCCCACGUCUGCACCUGUCACCCCUACUGCACGGCCCUGCUCCUCACUCUAUCACCACUUCAGUCUCCGUUAGGAAGCUGGCAGUGGAGUCCGAAUCCCCAGGGGUUUGGACUCGUGGGCGCCACGUGCAGCGAUGAUCCCGCCAGCCUCAAAAUCAGGCCCAUGGAGCCCCACCCGCGGGUGCAGGAGGCGGGGAGAGUGGGACAGGGGGCAAUAUGGGCCGGUGCGACUCAGUCUAGGGGCCGCAGCCCAAACAGCAGCUGUUUCCGUGAUUCAGCAAAGAGCCGGGUGGGGGUGCUGACGGCUGGGGUGGGCCGGGACUGGAGCUGAGUGAGAGGAGUCAGGGAAGGGGGGGGGGGGACACGGGUCACCCUGCACGCAGGCCCGCAGCCACUACUUUUGGGUCCUGCCCCCGCAUCACCUUAGCCCCGUGGGCCUGCCUUCACCCCCGUGGCCUGUUGCCACAUGUAGGUUUCACUGUUACCCAGGUAUGGUGAGGCCAGCAGAUCCAUAGUCUGCCGCCCACAGAUCCCAAGAGGAGGGGACCGUCACAUCAUGGGGAGCCACGCAAGGAAGGAGCAGGCGGGUCAGGACGCAGCGCGAGUGGGAGGGAAGCGUAGGGGCAAGACCCUGUAUUGUGGUUUCCGCAGGGAAGAGUGGGUGGGCAGGUAAGCAGGUGAGUUUGAGUAAUUUCAUUGGGCUCUGGGGCCCAGGAACUGUCGCUAGUUGUCUGGUAUCUGGCCCCAGGGUGAUCAGGGCAGGUGGGUAGCGGCCCAGAUAUGAGGGAAAAAUGAGGUGGUUGUAAUAGGUCUCUGUUUGGGUUGCCCCUAACAGGCACACUCACAGGCCAGUGGUUUGCGCUCUCAAGGAACUGGCCAGCCCGGGGCGGGGUCGUCCCUCCAGGGUCACAAAGGCCCCAGAUGUCAGAGCAUCAGAAACGCAUGGUUUCCUUAUUAGUAAACCAAAAGAUAACGGCACCGGCGCCUGAUGAGGCUCCCCGAAGCAUCAGCAGGAAUGCCUAUGGGUCACCCCGGCCCACAGGUGGUCCUCACUCACGUCCGGCACUGGCUUAGGGAUUGCGGACCGACGGACAGGACGCCACAAGCCUGGCCUUCAAAAUGCUCAAAGACUGGGGCGCCUGGGCGGCUCAGUCAGUGAGGCGUCCAACUCUUGAUUUCGGCUCCGGUCAUGAUCUCGCUGUUCGUGAGAUCAAGCCCCAUGUGGGGCUCCGGGCUGACGGUGUGGAGCCUGCUCGGGAUUCUCCUGUCGCCCUCUCUCUCUGCCCCUCCCCCUCUUGGGUGCUCACCAUGCACGCACGUGCUUACACGCCCUCUGUCUCGCAAAGUAAAGAAAUAAGCAUGAAAAAAAAAAUGUUUUAAUGCUCAGAGACUAAUGAGGGACAGACAUGUCACAGCGGCUCAUGCCAGUAGGCAAGGUUGGAGUGGGUGCCACAGAAAAGCGUGAGGGGCGUGUUACGGGUGGUUGCGUUUGGGUGCAGUGAGGGGGAGUUUUCAAGGAACAUAUGGCACCUGAGUCUCAUGAGAGGGAGAGGAGAGGGUACAUCCAGGUGGAGGGGAUAGCCUCAGCAAGGCUUGGAGAGAGACCUAAAGGCUGUUCGGGGACAGUGGGGACAGAGUAGAUCAAUGUCGCUUGGGCCAGGGGACCAAGGGAGGGAUUGGCAAGGUGUGGUUGGCGGAUUAAGCUGAAUGGCUUUGACUGUGACAGUAACGAACUUGAACUUCAUCCUCCGGGCAGAACUGGAACUUCCCUCUGGGGAAGGCCAUAACAUACCCUGGCGGGGUCUUAGGGAGAGAUUUUCUGGGACCUUGUGGAGAAUGAAUUAGCAGGGCUGAGACCGGGGGCAGAGAGCAGCUCUGAGGUCCUGCAAGUCCAGCCGCGAGAUGGAGAACAGACGGAUCUGGAUGAAAAGGAGACCGAUCUAUCGAGCACUUACCAUGUUCCGGACACGCCCCGUACAUUUGCUCACUCGCCUCUCAACAGUGCUCUGAGUGGGUGCUCUCGUUCCCAUUUUACAGAUGAGAACACUGAGGUACAAGGAGGUUAAGUGACUUGCUCAGGGUCACGCAGCCAGCGACGUGGAGCCCUGGGAUUCUGAUUCUGGUCCAUCUGAAUCCAAAGCCCUGAUACUUCCCAGACCCAGAUGCCCACGGGGAGAGAAGGCCCAAAGGUGAAGAGAUGCACGCAGUGGAAACUUAGCAGAUCCCGACAGCUUCUUUCUUCGUCAGCCUCCCUGAGCUGGGCAUCUUCCACUGGCUCCUCCAGACCCUCAACCCACCCCCCUCUUUCUCCCCCUACUCCGUGUCCUGGGAGGCUGGUGGCAUGGGAGGCGUCCACAGGCUCCCUGGUCCUCACCCAUUAGCUUCUGGCUGGGUUCCAUCAACGGGGCAGGAGAGCCGAGGGAAGGAGGAGAGUGAGUGGGCUUGCUGCUUCCCCCUCCGAUGGGCUCUGUCCCCCCACUGACGCCCCAGCUCCUCCAGGUGGCCCUCUCCACACAGCGCGCUGCCCCAUCGGGCAGCUCCUCUCUCUCCUGCCCUUUCAAGCCUGGGGGUGGUGACAGUCACUCCUGCUUUUCAUACGGGUCCGUCUGUGACGUUGGCCCUCGGGAGAGAGGGCAGCAGACAGCAGCUUCUAAUGCUGGUCCCUGACGUCAUGGGGGUGGCUGAGCUUGCCAGGGAGUGUGCAGGGCAUGACGCUCAGGGACCAAGCUGGGAAGGAGGGGGGGACGCUGACAU